rnacentral:rRNA from 1 species
AGACCCGAAACCCGGUGAUCUAGCCAUGGGCAGGUUGAAGGUUGGGUAACACUAACUGGAGGACCGAACCGACUAAUGUUGAAAAAUUAGCGGAUGACCUGUGGCUGGGGGUGAAAGGCCAAUCAAACCGGGAGAUAGCUGGUUCUCCCCGAAAGCUAUUUAGGUAGCGCCUCGUGAAUUCAUCUCCGGGGGUAGAGCACUGUUUCGGCUAGGGGGCCAUCCCGGCUUACCAACCCGAUGCAAACUGCGAAUACCGGAGAAUGUUAUCACGGGAGACACACGGCGGGUGCUAACGUCCGUCGUGAAGAGGGAAACAACCCAGACCGCCAGCUAAGGUCCCAAAGUCAUGGUUAAGUGGGAAACGAUGUGGGAAGGCCCAGACAGCCAGGAUGUUGGCUUAGAAGCAGCCAUCAUUUAAAGAAAGCGUAAUAGCUCACUGGUCGAGUCGGCCUGCGCGGAAGAUGUAACGGGGCUAAACCAUGCACCGAAGCUGCGGCAGCGACACUCAGGUGUUGUUGGGUAGGGGAGCGUUCUGUAAGCCUGCGAAGGUGGCCUGUGAGGGUUGCUGGAGGUAUCAGAAGUGCGAAUGCUGACAUAAGUAACGAUAAAGCGGGUGAAAAGCCCGCUCGCCGGAAGACCAAGGGUUCCUGUCCAACGUU